rnacentral:rRNA from 1 species
ACGUACACUCCUGCGGGAGGCAGCAGUGGGGAAUUUUGGACAAUGGGCGAAAGCCUGAUCCAGCCAUGCCGCGUGCAGGAUGAAGGCCUUCGGGUUGUAAACUGCUUUUGUACGGAACGAAACGGCCUUUUCUAAUAAAGAGGGCUAAUGACGGUACCGUAAGAAUAAGCACCGGCUAACUACGUGCCAGCAGCCGCGGUAAUACGUAGGGUGCAAGCGUUAAUCGGAAUUACUGGGCGUAAAGCGUGCGCAGGCGGUUAUGUAAGACAGGUGUGAAAUCCCCGGGCUCAACCUGGGAACUGCAUCUGUGACUGCAUAGCUAGAGUACGGUAGAGGGGGAUGGAAUUCCGCGUGUAGCAGUGAAAUGCGUAGAUAUGCGGAGGAACACCGAUGGCGAAGGCAAUCCCCUGGACCUGUACUGACGCUCAUGCACGAAAGCGUGGGGAGCAAACAGGAUUAGAAACCCUAGUAGUCCCAU